UAAGGAAUAUUGGUCAAUGGGCGGAAGCCUGAACCAGCCAUGCCGCGUGCAGGAUGACUGCCCUAUGGGUUGUAAACUGCUUUUGUCCAGGAAUAACCCCAGAUACGUGUAUCUGGCUGAAUGUACUGGAAGAAUAAGGAUCGGCUAACUCCGUGCCAGCAGCCGCGGUAAUACGGAGGAUCCGAGCGUUAUCCGGAUUUAUUGGGUUUAAAGGGUGCGUAGGCGGCCUAUUAAGUCAGGGGUGAAAUACGGUGGCUCAACCAUCGCAGUGCCUUUGAUACUGAUGGGCUUGAAUCCAUUUGAAGUGGGCGGAAUAAGACAAGUAGCGGUGAAAUGCAUAGAUAUGUCUUAGAACUCCGAUUGCGAAGGCAGCUCACUAAGCUGGUAUUGACGCUGAUGCACGAAAGCGUGGGGAUCGAACA
rnacentral:rRNA from 1 species